rnacentral:rRNA from 1 species
UGGGCUGCAACCCGCCCACAUGAAGUUGGAGUUGCUAGUAAUCGCGAAUCAGCAUGUCGCGGUGAAUACGUUCCCGGGCCUUGUACACACCGCCCGUCACACCAUAGGGGUUGAGAGCACCCGAAGUCAGUGAGGGAACCGAAAGGGCCCAGCUGCCGAAGGUGAGAUCGAUGACUGGGGUGAAGUCGUAACAAGGUAAC